rnacentral:rRNA from 1 species
AAGCAUCUAUAGCAUCAAGUUACGGGUUGGCAAGUGUAUUUUUGAACCUUCAAAGCAGUCACGCAUACGGAGGAGUAGUUUCUGAUCCCAUAGAAGGAGCACAGUACAUUGAGAGACCGCUCUUAGUUCUAAGGAACGCAGCAGGCGCGUAAAUUGCCCAAUGUUAGUACCCAUUCACACUGGAGAAUUCAUUUAAGGUUAAUUUAUACAACACGGUAUAGUUGUUACACAAAUAUCAAUAACGAUAUAUGCGAGAGAGAUAUCACACACAUCACCCUUGAUCACAUUACGUACACGACGUAUCAUUGUAUAGAUUCAACCUUCACACACACUGAAUUCUUAUGAUUUUACUGAGGCAGUGGCAAGCUGUAACGGUUGAGUAUAAAAAUGACGAGUGUCUGGCAUUGCCGUCUAGGUUCGCUUAGGCUUGGCAUCAUUGCCGACGCCUCGUAUGCUCAAUUGGACUGCGGUGAGUUCAAUACACUCAGUACCAUUUGACGCGGUAGAAUUAAUACCUCUGCUGUGUUAAGUUAUCUGAACCCAUCAAGUAGAGGGCAAGUCUGGUGCCAGCAGCCGCGGUAAUACCAGCUCUACUGGCCUAUACAAUCAUUGUUGCGGUUAAGAGGCUCGUAGUUGGAUUGGACUAUUAUAUACGCGCUAAAUCUUACACACACCAUACACACACAACGGCCGUAUCGAAUAGCAUAUUAAUAUGCAUAGUAUAUAUGACGUAACGUAAUUUAUGACUUGAAUACGCACAUCUAAUACUAUACACGACACUUUACACACACAAUCACACCACGUGAAAUUGUUGCAUUGUUCGAAUACACAAAACCCCCACCUUACAUACACGCGUAUUCAACACUGUGAACAAAUCAGAGUGUAUCAUACAUGUCUUUAAUUGAAUGUGCAUUGAAUGUCUCAUCAUGGGAUGUUGCCUACACACAGCAAAUUUGAAAAUCGACACAUACACACUCGGAUUUUUUAAUUUUCUGGUUACAAAAAUGUCGAUGGGGAUAGUUGGAGUUAGCAGUACUGUUGGGCGAGCGGUGAAAUGCGUUGACCCUGGCAAGACUACCAGAAGCGAAAGCGGCUAACUAGGCUAUCCUCUUUGUGAUUUAUAAAUCUCUCGCGUCGCACACAUACACACAUACGGCGUGUCAGAUUACGUAACUAACACACCACAACGAAGAACGAAGGUUGGGGGAUCAAAGAGGAUCAGAUACCCUCGUCGUCCCAUUUUUUACAUCAAACUAUGGGCUCUCAUUUGCUUAUACGGUCUCGACGGACGUUUACAAUAUGUAUCUAAUCAAUACAUAUCUUUUGCGUGUAAGCUUUGUACAAUUAUUCACUCAACCACUCGUGGUUAUGAAUAUGCGUAUGCGUGCACUUGAUUUUAGGAGCUUUGCGCUCAUAUUAUCUUGGUUAGAUGCAAGUAUCACUCGUUCACUGUGUACUGGCGUAUCGAUAUAUUCGUAUAUCCGAUUACUGCUGUAUCACUAUGAACAACAAACAAUGUGAUACGACGCACGCUUUAGGCACGCGCUUACUGCAGAAAUGUCUGAGACAUUCCCCUCCGGGGGUAGUAUGCACGCAAGUGUGAAACUUGAAGGAAUUGACGGAAGGGCACCACAAGAACGCGUGGAGCAUGUGGCUUAAUUUGACUCAACGCAGGAAAUCUUACCGGGUCCGGACACACUGAGGAUUGACAGAUAAUAACGGGUUGGUUCUUCGGAACCGACUCUUAAAAAUAUGAUAGCUCUUUCAUAAUUAUGUGAUAGGUGGUGCAUGGCCGUUCUUAGUUCGUGGAGUGAUCUGUCUGCUUAAUUGCGUUUUCAUUAUGGCUGACUAUAGUAUGUGUAUUUAUAUGCUCUCGCGGUAUGUAAAUCACGUCUGUCGGCUUUGAAAUGCAACGAACGUGACCGCAACCUCUUGUUGCACCUUAGCUGCUCAAGGUGCUCAACUAGAGGGACCGCUGUAUUUUUUCUUUUAGCCAGAGGAAGGAUGCGGCAAUAACAGGUCUGUGAUGCCCUCAGAUGUCCCGGGCUGCACACGUGCUACAAUGAUCAUUGCACUGCGCAUCUUCUUUUAUGUUUACACUGUCGUGUGCGAUAAGAUUCGCUUCACAGUGGUCGUAUCAAACACACAGUACACACACCCGUGUCGACAGGCUACUACACUCGGGUAACCCAUUAGAAGUAAUGAUUUCCAUAUGCACACAAUCAUACGUAUGAACGCUGAACACUCCGGUGUCUCAAUGUUCGUACGCAUGUGCGAUUGUCAAUUCAUGGUGGGGACAGACCAUUGAUAAUUGUUGGUCUCGGUCUCAACUAGGAAUGCCUUGUACGAGUCGGUUCACCAAACCACUCGGAAUACGUCCCUGCCCUUUGUACACACCGCCCGUCGCUCUUACCGAUGGACUUCGCUGUGAGUUUGAGGGACUGGCCUAGGCUAUAGAAACUUAAACGAACAGUGUGGUCUAAAGGAAAGAGAAGUCGUAACAAGGCAUCGGUAGGUGAACCUGCCGAUGGAUCAUUA